rnacentral:rRNA from 1 species
UAGUAACGGCGAGUGAAGAGGGAAAAGCUCAAAUUUUGAAUCUGGUGUCUUUGACUCCCGAGUUGUAAUCUAGAGAAGUGUUUUCCGUGUCGGACCGUGUACAAGUUCCCUGGAACGGGGCGUCAUAGAGGGUGAGAAUCCCGUAUAUGCCACGGACUACCGAUGCUCUGUGAUACACUCUCAACGAGUCGAGUUGUUUGGGAAUGCAGCUCAAAAUGGGUGGUAAAUUCCAUCUAAAGCUAAAUAUUGGCGAGAGACCGAUAGCGAACAAGUACCGUGAGGGAAAGAUGAAAAGCACUUUGGAAAGAGAGUGAAACAGUACGUGAAAUUGUUGAAAGGGAAGCGUUUGAAGUCAGUCACAUCUGUUGGGGUUCAGCCUGGCUUCUGCCUGGUGUAUUUCCUUUCCGAUGGGUCAGCAUCAGUUUCGACCGAGGGAAAAAGACAUUUGGAAUGUGGCUGUCUUCGGGCAGUGUUAUAGCCUUGUGUUGUAUGUCUCGGUUGGGACUGAGGAUUGCAGCGCGCCAUAAAUGGCCGGGGGUCGCUCCUCUCGACACGCGCUUAGGA